AUUGAACGCUGGCGGCAUGCCUUACACAUGCAAGUCGAGCGCCCCCGCAAGGGGAGCGGCGGACGGGUGAGUAACGCGUGGGAACAUACCCCUUUGGUACGGAAUAGCCUCGGGAAACUGGGGAGUAAUACCCGUAUGUGCCCCUUCGGGGGAAAGAUUUAUCGCCAAAGGAUUGGCCCGCGUUGGAUUAGGUAGUUGGUGGGGUAAUGGCCUACCAAGCCUACGAUCCGUAACUGGUCUGAGAGGAUGAUCAGUCACACCUGGAACUGAGACACGGUCCAGACUCCCUACGGGAGGCAGCAGUGGGGAAUAUU
rnacentral:rRNA from 1 species